rnacentral:rRNA from 1 species
AGUGAACGCUGGCGGUAUGCCUAACACAUGCAAGUCGAACGGCAGCACCGUAAGAGCUUGCUCUUACGUGUGUCGAGUGGCGGACGGGUGAGGAAUACAUCGGAAUCUACUUUUUCGUUGGGGAUAACGUCGGGAAACUUACUCUAAUACCGCAUACGACCUCCUUGUGUAAGCAGGCGAUCUUCGGACCUUGCGCGAUUGUAUGAGCCAAUGUCGGAUUAGCUAGUUGGCGGGGUAAAGGCCCAACAAGGCGACGCUCCGUAGGUGGUAUGAGCGGAAGGUCAGAAACACGGGAAGUGAGAAACGGUCCAGACUCCGACGGGAGGCAGCAGUGGGGAAUAUUGGACAAUGGGCGAAAGCCUGAUCCAGCCAUACCGCGUGGGUGAAGAAGGACUUAGGGUUGUAAAGCCAUUUUGUUGGGAAAGAAGAGAAGCAGGUUAAUACCACGCUGUAAUGACGGUACCCAAAGAAUAAGCACCGGCUAACUCCGUG